GACGAGCCACACAAACGUUAUUCGGAAUUACUGGGCGUAAAGCGUGCGCAGGCGGCGCGUUAAGACAGGUGUGAAAGCCCCGAGCUUAACUUGGGAAUUGCGCUUGUGACUGGCGUGCUGGAGUGUGGCAGAGGGAGGUGGAAUUCCACGUGUAGCAGUGAAAUGCGUAGAGAUGUGGAGGAACACCGAUGGCGAAGGCAGCCUCCUGGGCCAGCACUGACGCUCAUGCACGAAAGCGUGGGGAGCAAACAGG
rnacentral:rRNA from 1 species